rnacentral:rRNA from 1 species
GUCGUAACAAGGUUUCCGUAGGUGAACCUGCGGAAGGAUCAUUACAUCAAUUGACACAACUCAACCAAGCCCUUAGUUGAAGAGAUGCGCGUUCGCGUGCGUCGCUUCAACAAAACACAAAACUAAUUCAAUCAAAGGAACCUAACUAAGAUAAACCACAAAAACCAAAUUCUCAACGAUGGAUGUCUUGGUUCCCACAACGAUGAAGAACGCAGCGAAGUGCGAUAAGCAGUGCGAAUUGCAGAACCGUGAGUCAUCAGAUUUUUGAACGCAACUGGCGCCGUACGGCCUUUGGCUGUCGGCACGCCUGGUCCAGUGUUUUGUUCUCUCAUGAUCAAAAUCUUAAUGCUUGAGAUGCCCUUCUCUUGCUAAGUAUGAAAGCACUCUGCGAUCUGCGCGAGACUUUCGGGUCUCACUCAAUGCAGCAGUCACAUUGCUUACAGUGUGAACUCAUUGAGAGUGGACGCAGUGCAGCAAUAGCUGCCUGUGCUUAGUCACACCAACUUAGAAAUCGCAUCUGGGCUCAGGUGGGACCACCCGCUGAACUUAAGCAUAUCACUAAGCGGAGGAAAAGAAACUAACUAGGAUGGCCUUAGUAACGGCGAGUGAAGUGGCCAAAGCCCAAAAUGGUAAUCUUCGUACUUCGUACGACGAGUUGUAAUCUAGAGUGGCAGUGCUUAACGGGCGGUGGCGCAGAAGUGACCUGGAACGGUCUACCAUAGAGGGUGAUAGUCCCGUUCGUGGUGCCGCAGCCCAUCUAGCACGCUUACUAAGAGUCGGGUUCUUUGAUAUUGGAGCCCUAAGCGGGAGAUAAACUUCUUCUAAGGCUAAAUAUAUGUGGGAAACCGAUAGCGAACAAGUACUGUGAAGGAAAGAUGAAAAGCACUUUGGAAAGAGAGUCAAAAGACCUGAAAUCGUUGAGGAGGAAGCGGUAGAGAUGUAUACUUCACUCGAGAGCGGGGCAACUUGUUCUAGGGUGUGAGGCCGGAUGGGGUCGCUUCGGUACAUAGGCUUUCUAGGUAUGACUCCGGUCGCCACCUAGUUCUGUCGGUAUCGUUGUGGCCUGAGGGAUCUUGUAUGAUCUGGCCAAAAUGGUCUUUACCGACCCGUCUUGAAACACGGACCAAGGAGUCUAACGUACACGCGAGUAUGCCGGUGGAGAAACCGUCAUGCGUAAUGAAGGUGAGUGAUGCCAACCUCGGGGCAGCAUCGACCGACCAUAAGCUUCUAGCUUAAGGUUUGAGUAUGAGCGUGUCCGCUAGGACCCGAAAGAUGGUGAACUAUGCGUGA